UACGUAGGGUGCGAGCGUUAAUCGGAAUUACUGGGCGUAAAGCGUGCGCAGGCGGUUUUGUAAGCCAGAUGUGAAAGCCCCGGGCUUAACCUGGGAAUGGCAUUUGGGACUGCAAGGCUUGAGUGCGGCAGAGGAGACUGGAAUUCCUGGUGUAGCAGUGAAAUGCGUAGAUAUCAGGAGGAACACCGGUGGCGAAGGCGGCUAUCUGGACAGAAAACUGACGCUGAGGCGCGAAAAGCUAGGGGAGCAAACAGG
rnacentral:rRNA from 1 species